rnacentral:tRNA from 2 species
GCCGAAGUGGCGGAACUGGAAGACGCGCGGGACUCAAAAUCCCGUGGGGCUCAAAACCCCGUGUGGGUUCGACUCCCACCUUCGGCA